AUGCCAUUUCGGAUACAGCCAGAGACUGUUGUGUCGUUAUUUGAGGGAGUUUUUAUAUUGUGGUAUUCGAGAAGGAUGCAUUUCCAGACUACUGCCCCUGCAGGCCUGGAGGAACCAUUGUCAGGCUUAUUCAUAUUUUAUAUUUUAUUUUAUUUUUAUUAUUAUCAUCAAUGUAUAAUUUCUCUUUCACACCAGCAUUAUGUGAUAUACUCUGCUGAUUUUCAUCCUGAAAGAUGUAAAGCACUUUUUUGGCUAGCCAGGCCAUGGGUUAGGCAGGGUUUUUUUUGUGUUUGUUUGCUACAUCUCAGCAUGUCUGCCAGUGAGAUCCUUCCAAGACGACCAUCGUCUCAGACAACACUGCUAGUCCCUCUCAUCUUCCUCUUUUCAGUAAGAGGGUUUAAAUUUGCUGAGCUUUCAAUAAUACAGAUUUGUCAGAAUCCUUGAAGACAGCAUUUCAAAGGCAACGGCCACACACACAUAUGCAGGGAUCUAUCAGGCAUUCCCCGUGUGUAACAGGUCUUCUCUGAAAUCUUCAGGCCUGUAUUUAAGAGGGAUUAAAUCAGUCAGUCAGAUCCAAAUGGCUCCUCUCUGUGUGGAAUGCAACAAAAGAGCACCUCAAAUAGUUAUAGAAAGAACUCAGCUCACAGUCGCAUGCAGGGAUGAGUUCUGCACAAACUGCUGAGCCAGACACCAGCCGGACACACUAAAAGGGCGAUACGCUUUUGAAGGGACAGAGAAAUUGGCUGAGGGACUGCGCCAUGCAACAUGCUGUGGUUAUUUGGCCUCUAAUGAGGAGUGAUGGUUGACACAUCACUUUCUGCUUCCAUCGAGCGUGUACUUUAAAAACACAGCUCUCAAGGUUGGAGACUCAGUGUGGCAGGUUGCAGAUGACCUGUAUGAUGCACAGAGUUUAAUGUCUAAUCUUUUACGUAUCUGUCAGUGGAAUUGCUAGUUAUCAUCAUUGUUCAUCAUGCUACUAUAGCUGUGGGACCUUCAUUAUUAUGGCAUAAAGACAGGUGUAUAUAAGAUCACUAGGCCCAGACAGAAUCUGAAUCUGAUCUGAAUCUGAAGUUUUUAGGCAUUUGGCUUCAUAAUGAAUAUGGAGCAGAGAAGAAAUCUAGUUUAACAUGAAAACUCUCGUUUAAAAUGUAAGUUAUAUAACCUUUGCUUUCAGUAAAGAUUUGAAAGCAAAAAGACGUGUAACAGAACCAGAAUUAUACUGAAAGGCAUUUUUCUUACUAAAAAAAUUCAAUCAGACGUAUUAGAUUGUGUACAACAGGUUUUUCAGCAAAGUUUUGACCAUGUUGAUAAUUUAGAGGCCUUAGAAAUUAAUUUAUAGGGUUAACUUAAUAGAUCUGAAAAAUGACUUUCAUGUCAUUGACCCAUUUUUGUGCAGAUUUUGUGGCAAUGGAUUUAAACAUAUAAUGACUUAAAUAUAGCUGAGAGUUUCAUACUGCACUCUUAUUAGUAGGUCAAAGCAUUGUUGAAUUAAUUUAAAAUAUUUCAUAAUCGCAUACAGUGGGAAGCACCAAAUGUGCAUAAUUUUAUGAUUGAUAGGUUCUCGAAUUCUGUAUGAAUUAAAUCUGUGAGUUCUGUGUGUGCCCAUCGAUCACUGUCCAAUAAUGUUGCAGCAGAAGCUGCUGGAAACAAGUGAUACAGUAUUGCCACAUCUUGCCACAUAUUCCCCUCAAAUCAUGUCCCUCAGAUGUCAGUAAGAUGUCUUGUUUGGUUCACAUCUAGUCAGGCUCAGAAACUUUCUGUCAGCAUGUUGCAAAACAAGGAGAGAGUUUGACCUCAGCCAGCUGUGCCCAAAAAGCUGAUGUGAGCCAUAUGACCAGCAGCAGAGAAACCAUCAGAAUUGAUGUGCUUUCAUAACCGCUUCAUAAUUAACAAACAUAUGGCGCUCCUGUCAAACAUUUAGAAAUAGAGUGUGUUCUGUUUUUUCAUGUUCUAUCAUGCGACUCAGACUCAGAUAUUUUCAGCUAUUCAUUGUCACAGUCUUAUUGUAUGUAUAGACCCUAAGUGUGUUUACUGGGAUUUUAAUUAGGGUAAUAAAUUAGGCUUUUAAUAAUAAAUUGUGACA
ensembl:lncRNA